UACGUAGGGUGCGAGCGUUAAUCGGAAUUACUGGGCGUAAAGCGUGCGCAGGCGGUUGGUUAAGUCUGAUGUGAAAGCCCCGAGCUCAACUUGGGAAUGGCAUUGGAAACUGGCUGGCUAGAGUGUGGCAGGGGGGGGUGGAAUUCCGCGUGUAGCAGUGAAAUGCGUAGAGAUGCGGAGGAACACCGAUGGCGAAGGCAGCCCCCUGGGCUAGCACUGACGCUCAGGCACGAAAGCGUGGGGAGCAAACAGG
rnacentral:rRNA from 1 species